rnacentral:rRNA from 1 species
GUUGGCUGCGGGCGAGGGGCGGGGGAAAUAGGAGGGGUGCAGGCGUUAGCCGGAGUUAUUGGGUUGAAAGGGUCCGUAGGAGGAUCUAUAAGUCAGUGGUGAAAUUUCAAAGCUUAACUGUGAAACUGACGUUGAUACUGUAGGUCUUGAGUAAAGUUGAAGUGGCUGGAAUAAGUAGUGGAGCGGUGAAAUACAUAGAUAUUACUUAGAACACCAAUUGCGAAGGCAGGUCACUAAGAUUUAACUGACGCUGAGGGACGAAAGCGUGGGGAGCGAACAGGAUUAGAUACCCGGGUAGUC